ACUCAAAUGAAUUGACGGGGGCCCGCACAAGCAGUGGAGUAUGUGGUUUAAUUCGAAGCAACGCGAAGAACCUUACCAGGGCUUGACAUAUAUAUGAAAAAUACAGAGAUGUAUAAUACCUUUGGGACAUAUAAACAGGUGGUGCAUGGUUGUCGUCAGCUCGUGUCGUGAGAUGUUGGGUUAAGUCCCGCAACGAGCGCAACCCCUGUUGUUAGUUGCUAACAGGUAAAGCUGAGCACUUUAACGAGACUGCCGGUGAUAAAUCGGAGGAAGGUUGGGAUGAUGUCAAAUCAUCAUGCUCUUUAUGUCCUGGGCUACACACGUACUACAAUGGCUGUUACAGAGUGAAACGAAUCAGAGAUGAGGAGUGAAACACAAAAGGCAGUCACAGUUCGGAUUGUAGGCUGAAAUUCGCCUACAUGAAGCCGGAAUUGCUAGUAAUUGCAGGUCAGCAUACUGCAGUGAAUACGUUCCCGGGCCUUGUACACACCGCCCGU
rnacentral:rRNA from 1 species